UUCUUCUCUCAUACUCUUUGUGGAUUAGGGUUUUUUGGUUUCCAUUGUUCCUCUUCAUCAGAUAAUCCCUCAUUCGCAUUCUGUUUGGAGAAAACCUAGCCGCAGUACAUGGAAUCAAGGUAUUCAUCUUCUUUUUCUAUCAUUCAGAUCAAGAAACUGAACAUUCUUGACCCAGAUCGCACUCUGUUUCCUCUUUCAACAAAUCGAUCAUCAAAUCGGAGCUACAACUAUUCUCAUCUACUUAUUCUUCUUCAAUCAACAGGCGCCAGUUGUUUGCAGCCCUGUUUCGCAUGGAUUAUCCAAUUUUUGGUGCGAAGUUGAGGAAGUUAUCGCAGAGGAGAUUCAUGCCUCCGGUGGAUUCGCAAUGGUAUUAGGAAAUUCUCCUCCACAUUCAGGUUCACUUCCUCCCUUUGUUACUCUUUGUACGCAUAUGUAGUGGGGUAUAUUGCAGGGUGAUUUUUAUACUCGCGUUUUCUUUCAUCAGCAAGGCCAAAAGUGAAAAUAUCUCUAUAAAGGAUUCGUUAAUAGGCGGCAGCUUACUAUUGACUUACACAACUGGCUAUGUUGCUCCUCUGCUCUGCUUCUUUUGUUGGAGCGUUGGAGUUUAUAUUAGCUAAAAAGGGUGCGUUAGGGACGGUAUGGAUCGCGACGCAUCUGGAUAGCUGCAUAAUUGGUGGCCAUUCAAUGCUAGAAGAUGCUAACAUUAAGGAUAUGAAGGAUGUGGAAUGUUUAAUCCGUCCCCCAGUCAAAGAUAACAACAGUCCACCAACCCAGAAAUCAAAUUGAUGUGCUGUCUGUUGAGACUAAAGCUCUUCUUUACCCGCUCAAUGGUUUGCCCAAAUCAUUCGAUUCUAAACGAGCGUGUCAAGAAGCGUAACACCGCUUUUCAUAUAGCCGAUAGGAAAUGCCGAUAAGAGGCUGAUAAAGUAAAAGGGGAAAGCUAAUCAUCUCUAAAGUGCAAUUCAUAUGUAGUAAGACAAGAUGCGCAACACUAGAGUCGGAAUAGGGAGCGGCAUAAGAGACUAUAUUAGCUGGUGGCCAUACAACUAGCUACAAACGGUUGUUGAAAGUGCAACUACAUUGAAGGUGCAUCUGCAAAUUGGGCAAUUGCGUUUGGAAUUGUACUCUCAUCAUAAAAUAAUUCACUAAUUGGUUCAUAAUCUUAGUUGGGAUAUACUUUUUUUACAUUUAUAAGUAACUUUUCUAUUUAUAUGAAUAACACAUGAUGUGUUGGUCUCA